UACUUGGUUGAUCCUGCCAAGGAAGCACACUUAGGUCAUAGAUUAAGCCAUGCAAGUGUUAGUUCAGGUAACGAAACUGCGAAUAGCUCAUUAAUACGCUCAGAAUCUAUUUGGCGGCGACCAACAGGUCUUAAAUGGAUAGCAGCAGCAACUCUGGUGCUAAUACAUGCGAUUGUUUCUCCAGAUGUGAAUUAUGGAGGAAAAGUUGACCUCAUCAGAGGCACGCCAUUCGACUGAGUGACCUAUCAGCUUGUACUUAGGGUCUUUACCUAGGUAGGCUAUCACGGGUAACGGGCGGUUACCGUCGGACUGCCGGAGAAGGCGCCUGAGAGAUAGCGACUAUAUCCACGGGUAGCAGCAGGCGCGAAACUUUCCCACUCGAGACUUUCGGAGGAGGUAAUGACCAGUUCCAUUGGUGCCUUUUGGUACUGUGGAUAGGGGUACGGUUUUCCACCGUACCGAAACCUAGCAGAGGGCCAGUCUGGUGCCAGCAGCUGCGGUAAUUCCAGCUCUGCGAGUUUGCUCCCAUAUUGUUGCAGUUAAAACGCCCGUAGUCUGAAUUGGCCAGCAAUGGUCGUACGUAUUUUUACGUUCACUGUGAACAAAUCAGGACGCUUAGAGUAUGGCCACAUGAAUGACUCAGCGCAGUAUGAAGUCUUUGUUUUCUUCCGAAAACAAGCUCAAUGAGAGCCAUCGGGGGUAGAUCUAUCUCAUGACGAGUGGUGGAAUACUUUGACUCAUGAGAGAGAAGCUGAGGCGAAGGCGUCUACCUAGAGGGUUUCUGUCGAUCAAGGGCGAGAGUAGGAGUAUCCAACAGGAUUAG
rnacentral:ncRNA from 2 species